GCACAAGUCUUUGGAGUAGUUUUGUAUUUAGUAACUGGCUCAUAGAUCUGUGACAGUAUUACGAGAAACGAGUUCUUGCGUUUUUUUUUGUUUGACUAUGUCACUGGUUUAGACCCAAAGCUUCACUGCUACUAAAGCCAACCAGCGAGGACAUGGGGACUGCCAGCCUGAUCAUCCUGAUUUGUUAUUUGCUGGUGUUUCCAAUUCAGAUCUUGGCUUGGGAUGGCACGGAAAUAUUCCACAGACACUAUUAUGUGAGAGUGACUUUCUACGAUCCUGACUACGCAGAGGCUGACAAUAUUAUACAAGUGCUAAAAGACUCAAUCUUCUUCAUUUAUGGAGACGGCGCCUUCUCUACAAAUACAAGUCUUUUGCAGACAUGGCCAAACAAAGUUAUAAUAUUUGAUGUAGCCAGCAAUGUGGACUAUGUGUGUCCCAAUGAUAU
rnacentral:sRNA from 1 species